UCAGUAGAUAGAGAAGGUCCAAAAAGGCCGUGUUUUGGGUACUGGUCUGAAAAGGCCUUGUCUUGGGUAAUGAUCUAAAAUCGAGGUGGUUUUGGGUAGUGUUCUAAAUGGAGCUGAUUUUGGGUAGUGUUUUAGUGUCGAGGUGGUGUAUGGUAGUGUUGUAUGUGUAUGUGAUUUACGGGGGGAAACAAAAAGUUGCGUUGUUUUAGAUUGAGUAGAAAAUGUUGAUGUUGUGGGUUUAGGUGGGAAGUGGUAAUGUUCGAGGUAUCCCGUGUGGUUGUUGUUGUUUUUUUUUUGGUGAUAUGUUGGAAAAGCAGCCCAGGCGCCCGGGAAAAAA
rnacentral:lncRNA from 1 species